rnacentral:rRNA from 1 species
UACGUAGGGUGCGAGCGUUGUCCGGAAUUACUGGGCGUAAAGAGCUCGUAGGUGGUUUGUCGCGUUGUUCAUGAAAACCGGGGGCUUAACCCUCGGCGUGCGGGCGAUACGGGCAGACUGGAGUACUGCAGGGGAGACUGGAAUUCCUGGUGUAGCGGUGGAAUGCGCAGAUAUCAGGAGGAACACCGGUGGCGAAGGCGGGUCUCUGGGCAGUAACUGACGCUGAGGAGCGAAAGCGUGGGGAGCGAACAGG